GCACUGCUGAGGAGUCCCACACUAGGACGAAACAGACGUCUAGUGC
rnacentral:hammerhead_ribozyme from 1 species